rnacentral:rRNA from 1 species
CAGCCGCCACGGGAAUACAGAGGGUGCGAGCGUUAAUCGGAUUUACUGGGCGUAAAGCGUGCGUAGGCGGCUAAUUGAGUCGGAUGUGAAAUCCCCGAGCUUAACUUGGGAAUUGCAUUCGAUACUGGUUAGCUAGAGUGUGGGAGAGGAUGGUAGAAUUCCAGGUGUAGCGGUGAAAUGCGUAGAGAUCUGGAGGAAUACCGAUGGCGAAGGCAGCCAUCUGGCCUAACACUGACGCUGAGGUACGAAAGCAUGGGGAGCAAACAGGAUUAGAUACCCCCGUAGUCCCUGUCUCUUAUAC